CGGAGAUAUCUUUCUCUUUUUCUAACGACCAUCACAGCAUCUUUGGUUCAUUAUCGGUUCUACUUUUUCAAAUAAAAGAUAAUACUGAAAAUGAGAUGUGAAAAUCAUUAAAAACACUAUUUUUACUGGAAAAAAAGAAAAAUUUCUAUUUAAUUUUUCCCUUCUGUUUAUAUACAGAGAGGUAAAUAAAUAAAAGUUGGAUAGAAUGAAUGGUUCUAUUUGGUAUGUAAAUAAAAGAUUUUUAUAAUAAAGUUUUGAAUAUGAGAUAUAAAAAUAUUUUUAAAUAAAUUUUGUGACAUCAUCAAGAGGAAAAUAUGUAUGUAGUUUUAGUAUAUUUGGAUGGAAUUAAAGAUGAAUAAAUAAUUGAUGAAUAAAUAAUUCGUGAAAAAAAGUUUAGAAAAAAAAUGUGUGUGCUGACUUUAGAAAGAGAUAAGAACGUUAAAUUGACGUCAGUAGCUGCUGAAAUAUUUAUAAAUUUUUUAAGGAAUUUAGUGAAAAAAUAUAAAUUACAAAUUUGGAGUUAAUAAUUGAUCAAAUUGUAACAAAUGUUUUGAAUGAUUGCCACAAUUUAUUUGAUCGAAUUCAAAUCAAUAACAAUAAACGGUUACUCACACGAUAAUAAAAAAAUACCACAUACUCAAACAACACCAGAGGCAUUUUUUUUUACAUCAUAAUCGAAGAAGAAUUUAUUGUUUUCCGUUAAACGAAAAAUUCAUCAGCCAUAGAUACACAAAUAAACAACAAUAACUAAAAUAUCUAUUGUUAUGGACAAUAAAAAUAAAAUGCAAAAUGUGUGUACUAUUAUGUCGAAUAUCAUUGACAUGAGAGAUUGAUAAAUUUCCAUAAAAAAA